AUGAUCAAAAUAACACUUAAUGUUUUAUCAAAAGAGAUAAAUAUACACUUAUAUUCCAAUGGUAAAUUAAUUUAGACAUUAGGGUUUAGAUUUAAGGGCUGGAGUUUAGGAUUUAGGGUUUAGGAUUUAGGGUUUAGGGUUUAGAGUUUAGGGUUUAGGGGUGGAGUUUAGGGUUUAGGGUUUAGAGUUAAGGGGUGAGAUUUAGGAUUUAGGGUUUAGGGUUUAAGAUUUAGGGUUUAGGCUUUAGGGUUUAGAGUUUAGGUUUUAGGGUUUAGAGUUGGGGAGUGGGGUUUUGGGAUAAGAUUUCAAAUUUUGAAAAAUAAAAAAAUUUAAAUUUUUCAACAGAUAAAAUGGUAUUUUGGUCAUUUUAGUUUUUGAAGGCUAUUUUUGUGACAUAAACUUAG
rnacentral:lncRNA from 1 species